rnacentral:lncRNA from 1 species
AGAUGCUCCAAAGGAAGAAAGGUAGAGAAGCCUGAGCUGGAGGAAAACACAGUCGUGCAAUGUUUUAGGACCCCAGACCUGCAAGGGAGAAGCUGAAGCUCUGGAGAUAAGAAGGCCAAAAUGAGUCCUAUGGAGUAUUUGCACAGCCAGUUUCUUCUGGAAGCUUCAAGAGAGAGUCUGUUCCUUGCCUUUUCCAGCUUCUAGAGGCAGCCGACACUCCUUGGCUCAUGGCCACAUAACUCUGACCUGUGUCUAUUGUCACAUCACUGACUCUUCUGACCUCCUACCAGGACCCUUGUGAUUACAUUGGGCCUGCUUGGAUAACCCAGGAUAGCUUCUCCAUCUUAAGGUUGUUAAUCACAUCUGCAGAAUGCCUGUUGCCAUAUAAGUUAACAUAUUCACAGGUUCUAGGAAGAAGGACAUGGACAUCUUCCAGGAAGCAUUAUUCUGUCUACCACAGCAGUUCUUUCAACUGUAUGUUUCCCAGACCAUUCAUCCUUCCCUGCACAAAGUCAAGUUCAUCAACGUUCUUACUGAAAUGUGAUGUUGUUUAUCACGAAUAUAUAUAAAGCAAAGACUCUCUAAUCCUGUACUUUGCAUCUGGCAUUUCAAAAUGAAGUCUAAAAGUGUACAAUUUCUACUCCUAUGCAAGUUUCCUCUUCUUAGAUUUGACCUCCUAUUCUGGACUAUGAAGGUAUGUAAAAGUCUCUUUUUUUGUGAUCCAACCUAUUAUUUAGCUGAAUGGACUAUUAAGAGCACUGUGCUAGUGUGAGAAAUGCUUCUGGUCUUUACUUUUACCAUUCAUUAGCUCCUGUACAAGAGGAGAUGUAUAAUAUUGUUCAAUCACUGGAAAUCUAUUAGGAUUAUGGAAUUAAAGUCUUUAGCAAACUUAAGUAUCAUGCUAAUUUUAGUUUAUGCAUACCAAAUGUUAGCAACUAUCAACAAUGCACUUCAGUUUUAUUGAGUGACCUCCAAUGAUACAAGAACAUAGAAGUGGUCCAAGAACAUUCAGACCACCCACAUGUAGGAAUGAAGGAAAGGACUUGCAUGUUAAGAUCCAUUUUGAGCCUCCACGGAUGAGCCUCACAACUCACUGGUCAGCCUUGAAGUAUGUUUUGGGAGAUGUCACUUAGCAUCUACUUCAAUCUAUUCAUUUGCAUGUUUUGAAUCUGCUUGACUUGUCAUGGAGUCCACGUUUUUUAUUUCAUUCAAAAUGGUAUCAUAAGACUCUCCUUGCUUCCUUCCACUUCUCUAAGUGGAAAGGGUUGUUCUUAGUUCGUGUAUGUAUCUGAAAGGCAACUGGAAUUGUUGAAGAGAAAGAGAAGACCUAACCUGGGCACCCUAGGAACCUACUGACAUCUAUAACACCACUGUGUGCUCCCUGCCUGUCCGUCUUAGUAGAUCCGAUGAAUGCCCUAAAUUCUGAAUAUUUACUAUCUCAACCACUAUCUCUAAAAAAUUAUGGUAAUGACUUACACAAUAGACAUUAUUCCAUAAAUGUUCUAAUGAUGCCAAGUAUCUGAACAGAUUGUACAACAGCAGAUUUCUGCUGCAGUCAAUCAACUUACCUAUCUGUCUACAUGUAUCUAUGCCACCAUUUCUCCAUAAAUCACAGUCUAGUCCAUGUUACUUCCUAAAUGAGCAUUGCCUCAACAUAAGCCUUGGUUAGAAUGCUUUUCAUUGUUGGUCUUGGAGGUAUAUAGGUGAACCACUUAUCCUGAGCCUACAGAUUCAUUUAAUGACAUUCGCUCGUUGUAUAGAUUUAAAUAGGCUUGGAAAUCUCAGGAAAAUUAGCAGCCUCUAUAAGCUAAGGUGGAUUUUACUGUCCAGAGAACACAUCUAAAUAUGGCAAGGGCUAGACUAUGUGUGUGUGUGUGUGUGUAUGUGUGUGUGUGUAUGUUUUGCACAUGUGUGUACAGAAAAAGAUAUACAUAAAAUAUUUCAUACAUAUAUAAAAUAUUUCAAAGUCCAGACUAUUUUGUUUAGACUUCCUUAUUUCAGAAGAGGAAAUUGAUACAAAGGAAAGCAAAGAAGACAGAUUUUUCUUGGCCCCUUCACCGCUGAUGAUAAAAUUCCAUAAGGAAGGAGGGUGUCAAGGGUUCCCACUGCCCUCUUUUGCUUCCUUGCUCUUCCCUUGAAAUAAAUCUCAACAUACCACCGUGAUCUUUGCAAUUAAAUUACUUUACCCAAAGCAGAUGUUCGCUAGGAGCAUUUUCCUUCUGCAGCAUGGAGAGUCAUAGUUUCUCUGCUCAUUUGUCUUGUUAACUCAUAUCUGAGAGAACACAUGGAAGUGGCAUGGUCAGAAAGAAAUUGGAUACACAGAGAGAAAGUUUAAUUUUUGCUUGUAAUACUAUGCUAAAUUAUUAAACUGAAAGUCAUAUAAAAUAGCUAAAAGACUAAAAAAGACAUAAAUCAGCCACCACCUAUGUAUUUUAUUUCAUUACUUUUUUUUGUUCUAGUAUUUUUCCCAGUUUGAAUAUUGAAACAAAAUUAAUUGGUUUCACUUUUAAAGCAAUGUUAUUAUAGACAUGUAUUUAACAUUCUGAAAAAAUAUUUUAUAUAUCAAAAUAUGUAUUUUUAAGGCAGCUCUUAAUUUAAUCCAGGCAGCGAAAUCUACUUUCCUGUACAGCUUAAUGGUUUUAGUCCAUUUUAACUUUCAUUAAAAUUCUCAGAAAUCUUUCUAUUAGGUUUUAAAAAUGUUUUUCUUUUUAGAUUUUAAGGAGCCAAAUUGUGACCUAAAAUAUAAUAAUAUUUUAAAUUAAAUAUCAAUUAGUUUAGCAUGAGAGUUAUAUAGAAAAACUAAUAAUAUACAUAACCUUAACAUAUUGUCAAGUUUGGGAUAUCUGAAAUUAAUAUACUUUGUUCUUAAUAUUUUGAGAGAAAUAUUGUUUGAAUAUGUACAUGCAAAAAUAUGCCUCAGUCAUUUAGUUUUAUGUAGAAAUUUAAACUAAAGGCAAUACAUAAUAAAAAUAUAAAAAAAUUUAAGAACUUACAUAAAUUAAGGCCAUCUUACAUUCCUAUGCAACUUCCAUUAAUUGAAGAGAGAGCAGCCUAUAUUUUGAUUCAAACACCACUGAAAGUUUUAUGAGUCCCUUGGACUUACUAAUGGUGAAAAUAGCUUUAUUUUUCCUUUGAAUCACUUCCAAGUUACUGUUAACUAAUAUAUACAUUUUAAAGUUAUUGAUUUUUAUGACAAAGACUUUCUCCAUCUGGAAAAUAAACUAUACAUUACUGUCAUAUUCAAGGACAAAUGUACAGGAUUUGAGUUUUGCAAAGCAAUAACAUAUGGGAUUUUCAGAGGGCUUUGGCACAGGGGUUGGAAGAGAAGAGGAAGGAGUUUACCUAAGUGUGGGAACAAUGUACAAGGUCACACGUGAUCCGCUUUAAGAUGGACUCCUGUGUCCAAACCAAUUUUUAAUACUACUCUAUGCACAUGAUGCACUAGAGAAGAAAAAGAAUCAACUGUCUAAUGCCCCGUGAGUGUAGAGGAACCUCAACACACCUCAGAGAGAGGUUGGAACCGAAUAGUCUAUUCUUUGGAGAGCUUACUCUAUAAUUCUUUUCCUUACUUAUUGACAAAAGUUUAUUUGCUUUUUUAAAAAUGUAUCUAACAUUAGCCUUCAAGUGAUUUUUCCUUAGAAGUUUAAGGUUUUCAUCAAAAUACGUAUGUUUUUCUGGACAGAUGGAGACUCCAUAGAGAGAAAUUGAAGUAACUGAGAAAACAACACAUUGCCAGUUGCUGUGUUCUAAACUAGACUCUCAUUUAAGGCUGUAUAUGCAUACUGGAUAGUGGGAUUUGAAUGUGUAUCAGUCAAAAGUGGAAUGUUCUGCAAUGAUACCUAUAUUUUUACUACUACAGAAGAUGUUGAAUGGUAUAAUGUGCACAGUGCUGGAAUAGAGAGCAGGAGUCCUAGGGAGGAGUUUUAGCUUUGCCAUUACCUAGAUGUAUAAUCUUGUAAAAGUGAUUGGACCUUUGCAGGCCUCAGUUCCCUCAUUUAUAAAAUGAAGAACACAGACUAGAUUAUUUCUAAUGUCUUUCCCAACUCCAAGAAUUAAGGCCCCCUCAUUCCACUGUGAUUCUUUUUCUUAAUUAAUUAAUUUAUUUUUAUUUUAUUAUAAGUACCGGGAUACAUGUGCAGAAUAUGCAGGUUUCUUACAUAGGUAUACAUGCACCAAGGUGGUUUGCUGCACCUAUCAACCCGUCAUCUAGGUUUUAAACCCCACAUGCAUUAGGUAUUUGUCCUAAUGUUCUCUCUCCCCUGGCCCCCCAUCCACCAACAGGCCCGAGUGUGUGAUGUUCUACUCCCUGUCUCCCUGUGUUCUCAUUGUUCAACUCCCACUUAUGAGUGAGAACAUGUGGUGUUUGGUUUUCUGUUCCUGUGUUAGUUUGCUGAGCUUCCAGCUUCACACGUGUCCCUGCAAAAGACAUGAUCCUAUUCUUUUUUCUGGCUGCAUAGUAUUCCAUGGUGUAUAAGUGCCACAUUUGCUUUAUCUAGUCGAUCAUUGAUGGGCAUUUGGGUUAGUUCUAAGUGUUUGCUAUUGUGAAUAGUGCUGCAAUAAACAUACAUGUGCAUGUGUCUUUAUAGUAGAAUGACUUAUAAUCCUUUGAAUAUAUACCCAGUAAUGGGAUUGCUGGCAGAUGGUAUUUCUGGUUCUAGAUCCUUGAGGAAAGCCAGAAUUGACAAAUGGGAUCCAAAUAAACUAAGGAGCUUCUGCAUAGCAAAAGAAACUAGCAUCAGGGUAAACAGGCAACCUAUAGAAUGGGAGAAAAUUUUUGCAAUCUAUCCACCUGACAAAGGGCUAAUAUCCAGAAUCUACAAUGAACUUAAAAAAAAUUUACAAGAAAAAAACAAACAACCCCAUCAAAAAGUGGGCAAAGGAUAUAAACAGACACAUUUCAGAAGAAGACAUUCAUGCGGCCAAUAAACAUAUGAAAAAAAAGUUCAGCAUCACUAGUCAUUAGAGAAAUGCAAAUCAAAACCAUGAGAUACCAUCACACACCAGUUAGAAUGGUGAUUAUUAAUAAAAAGUCAGGAAACAACAGAUGCCGGCGAGGCUGUGAAGAAAUAGGAAUGCUUUUUACACUGUUGGUGGAGUGUAAAUUAGUCCACUGUGAUUCUUAAAGAUAGGCUAUAAAAUUGUUUUAUAAUCCAUUACACAAUGGUUUUGAAAUAGGGAAUGGAUUGACCAGCAACUAUCCUCAUUUUUUAUGUGGAAGCUUGUUUGGUAAUUACUUCCCAAAUAUCUUUCUCAGAUGAUGCUCUCUUUAUAUGGUGAAAAAUAAAAUUAUAGUACCUUAAUACAGGAAUUUAUUUGGCGCAUCCAACUAUUUUUAUGUUGCAUAUUUAAGAAUCUAUUAGAUCGUCAAUACUCUGAAUACUCUGAAUUAUUAAAGGAAACAGUAUUUUUAAGGGAGAGUCUGAUAAAGAUUUUGAAGAGAGAGAAAAAAAGAGAUUUGAAAAAGUAUAGAAAAUUGGAGAAAACAUUUGAUAAAGCACAAACCGUAUUUGAGAAAACCAGGCCCACAAAUAAGAUCUGAUUAUCCUACCACCUGCUUCUUUAAUCCUCAGGGUAAAGACUUCACAGGGCUCCAUGACUUUACUGGAUGCCCUAUGUCUUUAUUUAUCUUUUGCCUUACUACAAACUUACUAUGGAAGAUUGAAAUUCAUGAGACUAGUGGUACAAAGACAGGAUUUAUCCCAAGGCAAAGCAAUUUUGGAUGUAUAUGUUUGUUUGAACCCUGACACUUAUUUGUAUUGAAAUCUUUUUGACUAUGUUAAGAUGGACUACUGUCUUUCCAAGCUUCGCCAUAAUCAUUUGUUGGGCCUAGCUGAUAGUUGCUAAUAAAACCUUCACAAGAUCUCUAUCUCCCAAUUCGGUAAAAACAGUCUCACCUUGUUUAUUUAUGGUUUUAGUUGUCUAAUAAAAUUCAGUUUCCUGUCAUGUAUUGAAGCAUAAUUCUAUAAAGAAAUUAUCUGCAAUAAGAUAUGCUCUUACAAAUGUAUUACAUACGAUUUUUGAAAAUUAUUUAUUCACUUGAUUAUAUCAAAACUUCAGAGAGAGCUUAAGAACACAUAAUCGGGUUAUGAGAGCUCUUUGAAUAUAUUUCAUGCUUUCAUAAAUUGUCUAUUUUUCCCCUUUCAAAACUCAAAAUGGAAGGGAGGAUUUAUCUGCAAGAUAAAUAAGAAUACACUGUAGUAUAGAAAGUUAUACCUGUACAAAAUGCAUCAGAAGUGUCCAUGACUAACAGCUUUAUUUCUUCUCUCUUUGUCUCAAGUAUUUUUCUCAGGUAUUCUUUCAUGUUUUUGUCUUCGUGUGACCAAACACUACAAGUUUUGUUGAGGAUUUGUAAAUAUUCCCCACCCCUGAUAAACUCUGAUAAUUUGUUUUUCCCAUACUAUUCGAAACAUACUUCUGCAAUGCCAAAUUUGUACAGAAAACCUUUUAACAAUACAACAAAAUCAAUUGUAAGAGAGGUAAAUGAGAUGUUUUAAUGGGUUUAUAUUAAAUCAGAAUGAAAUUUAUUUUCACAAAAGGAUCCUUAUGUACAAUUAGUUUCUUUCACAGUGUAUUCCAUAGUCUUAUGAAAACAUAUCAGCAAUAAAAAACUUCUAAAAAUUUCUAUCAGGAAUGUUUUUUCAUGGACAAUAAAUAUAACUUAAGGCACUUUACGUCAUAUGCUUUUCCAGAGGGUUUGGUUCAACACACACUUGAGAAUUAUAUUCAAAAUAUUUUCAUCCAGACAUUGCCAGCCAGAAUGUGCCCAAUUAGAACUGAUGGCCAGUGAAGGCGCCAGGCCCUCGUUCUUCAGUGAGUGGAUCUUGGGAGGUGGGAUAAUGAGGGAGGGACUGAGCAGUGAGGGCAGGGCUGCUGGUGGUGGGGAGUUGUUUUCCAACUUCUUUUAAAUUACAAUAAUUUAACAACUAUUCGGCUAACAACAAUGUAGCUGGACCAUGCAUUCUUCACCCUAUACUAAUUGAGUACCUUUCAAUAUUAUUCAUAUAGUACACACAAUGGAAAUUUUUAAAGUUGGGUAUUUUGUUUAUUAAUCCAACAAAUAUUUAUUGAGACCUACUAGGUGCUAGGCACCACACCAGACCCAGAAGAAAAGAAGACUAACAGGGCAACCCUCUGCAGAAGGAAUCACACUCAUAGGAGAACUCUUAUAUAGUGUAUAUUAGAUAAUUUUCUACCCAACUUUCUUCUGCUCAUACUUUGUUUAUAUUACUCUGCAUUUGAUUGGAAUAAAAAGAGGACUGAUCCAACACAGUCAAUCUUCUCUAUUUAAAAUAAAGCCAGUUAAACUCAUUUGCAUAACUAGAAAAAUUGAUUUUUCAAGUCUACUACAUUGAUUCCAGACAGAUCUGCUGAGUUUUAGAAAGUGUGACCCAUAGUCCUUAGAUUCUUGUUCUGUUGUCUCUGUCCUAUGGAAGGGCAUUCUCCUUUAAAAAAUUCAGCUUUUUUUGCUGAUGCUCUGUAGGCUGCCUUCUAAUGAGGAUGGUGUGGGCUGGGUUCAGGUUGUAGGAUAAGUUGCAGAAAGCCCUAAUGAUCUGUCUGGAGCAAAUCUUAGCACCUUGGGAAAAAUGUGUGGCCCUUUAAAUUUAUGAAAAAUUCUUCUCUGGGAGGGAGUGGGAGUGGGGAGGUGGAAUAGAGUAGAGAAACAAAGAUAGCCAUCUACUUGGAGAAAGGAAGACAUUUGAAGGAAUCUGAAUUGCAAUCAAUGAAAAAGCGUCUGAACUUAUCUGAAAUAUACAUUUUAAAAUCAUAAAGAUAAAUUACAGAGAGCUUAGGAAAUAAUUUUGUUUUAGAGAACUGUGUGACUCUGAUGGUUAAUAUUGAGUGUCAACUUGAUUGGACUGAAGGAUGCAAAGUAUUGUUCCUGAGUGUGCCUGUGAGGGUGUUGUCAAAGGAGAUUAACAUUUGAGUCAGUGGACUGGGAGAGGCAGACCCACCCUCAGUCUGGGUGGGCACCAUCUAAUCAGCUGCCAGGGCAGCUAGGAUAAAAGCAGGCAGAGGAACGUGGAAGGACUACACUGGCUAAGUCUUCUGGCCUCCAUCUUUCUCCCGUGCUGGAUGCUUCCUGCCCUGGAACAUCAGACUCCAAGUUCUUCAGCUUUUGGACUCUUGGACCUACACCAGUGACUUGCUAGGGGCUCUGGGGCCUUUGGCCACAAACUGAAAGCUGCACUAUUGGCUUCCCUACUUUUGAGGUUCUGGGACUCAGACUGGCUUCCCAGCUCCUCAGCUUGCAGAUGCCUAUUGUGGGACUUCACAUUGUGAUCAUGUGAGUCAAUUCUCCUAAUAAGUUCCCCUUUAUAUAUUCAUCUAUUCUAUUCGUUCUGUUCCUUUAGAGAACCCUGACUCAUACAGCGGCUCAAAGGAAUCUCAGUAAAUCUGAGAAAGAAAAACCACCUCACCAGGCCCUCUAUUUAAGGCUGGUAGCCACUGGUGAAAGUGAUCAUUAAACACUUGGAAUGUAGCUGGUCCAAAUAGAAAUAUGCUGUAAGUAUAUGAAUUUCAAAUAUUUAGUACAAAAACAUGUAAGAUGUUACAUGAAUAAGUUUUAUAUUGAUUACAUGUUGAAAUGAUCAUGCUUUGGAUGUAUUUGGAUAAAUAAAU